rnacentral:rRNA from 1 species
CCUACGGGAGGCAGCAGUGAGGAAUAUUGGACAAUGGGUGAGAGCCUGAUCCAGCCAUCCCGCGUGAAGGAUGACGGUCCUAUGGAUUGUAAACUUCUUUUAUAUGGGGAUAAACCUACUUACGUGUAAGUAGCUGAAGGUACCAUAUGAAUAAGCACCGGCUAACUCCGUGCCAGCAGCCGCGGUAAU